AUUGAACGCUGGCGGCAUGCUUUACACAUGCAAGUCGAACGGUAACAGGCCGCAAGGUGCUGACGAGUGGCGAACGGGUGAGUAAUGCAUCGGAACGUGCCCAGUCGUGGGGGAUAACUACUUGAAAGAGUAGCUAAUACCGCAUACGAUCUAUGGAUGAAAGCGGGGGACCGUAAGGCCUCGCGCGAUUGGAGCGGCCGAUGUCAGAGUAGGUAGUGGGUGGGGUAAAGGCUCACCAAGCCAACGAUCUGUAGCUGGUCUGAGAGGACGACCAGCGACACUGGGACUGAGACACGGCCCAGACUCCUACGGGAGGCAGCAGUGUGGAAUUUUGGACAAUGGGCGCAAGCCUGAUCCAGCAAUGCCGCGUGCAGGAAGAAGGCCUUCGGGUUGUAAACUGCUUUUGUACGGAACGAAACGGCUCUGGUUAAUACCCGGGGCUAAUGACGGUACCGGAAGAAUAAGCACCGGCUAACUACGUG
rnacentral:rRNA from 1 species